AAUCCGUUAGGUGUGUCACCGAAUAGCAUGCUACCCGACGACUGGCAUUCAUCGUUUACGGUGUGGACUACCAGGGGUAUCUAAUCCUGUUUGCUCCCCACACUUUCGCACCUCAGCGUCAGUAUCGAGCCAGUGAGCCGCCUUCGCCACUGGUGUUCUUCCGAAUAUCUACGAAUUUCACCUCUACACUCGGAGUUCCACUCACCUCUCUCGAACUCUAGACUGAUAGUUUUGGAGGCAGUUCCAGGGUUGAGCCCUGGGAUUUCACCCCCAACUUUCCAAUCCGCCUACGCGCGCUUUACGCCCAGUAAUUCCGAACAACGCUAACCCCCUCCGUAUUACCGCGGCUGCUGGCACGGAGUUAGCCGGGGUUUCUUCUACGGCUACCGUCAUUAUCUUCACCGUUGAAAGAGCUUUACGACCCUAAGGCCUUCAUCACUCACGCGGCAUGGCUGGAUCAGGCUUGCGCCCAUUGUCCAAGAUUCCCCACUGCUGCCUCCCGUAGG
rnacentral:rRNA from 1 species